rnacentral:rRNA from 1 species
CUGGCGACAGGCCUAACACAUGCAAGUCGAGCGGAUGAAGRGAGCUUGCUCUCUGAUUCAGCGGCGGACGGGUGAGUAAUGCCUAGUAAUCUGCCUGGUAGUGGGGGACAACGUCUCGAAAGGGACGCUAAUACCGCAUACGUCCUGCGGGAGAAAGCAGGGGACCUUCGGGCCUUGCGCUAUCAGAUGAGCCUAGGUCGGAUUAGCUAGUUGGUGAGGUAAUGGCUCACCAAUGCGACAUCCGUAACUGGUCUGAGAGGAUGAUCAGUCACACUGGAACUGAGACACGGUCCAGACUCCUACGGGAGGCAGCAGUGGGGAAUAUUGGACAAUGGGCGAAAGCCUGAUCCAGCCUUGCCGCGUGUGUGAAGAAGGUCUCCGGAUUGUAAAGCACUUUAAGUUGGGAGGAAGGGCAGUAACUUAAUACGUUGCUGUGUUGACGUUACCGACAGAAUAAGCCCGGCUAACUCUGUGCCAGCAGCCGCGGUAAGACAGAGGGUGCAAGCGUUAAUCGGAAUUACUGGGCGUAAAGCGCGCGUAGGUGGUUUGUUAAGUUGGAUGUGAAAGCCCCGGGCUCAACCUGGGAACUGCAUUCAAAACUGACAAGCUAGAGUAUGGUAGAGGGUGGUGGAAUUUCCUGUGUAGCGGUGAAAUGCUUAGAUAUAGGAAGGAACACCAGUGGCGAAGGCGACCACCUGGACUGAUACUGACGCUGAGUGCGAAAGCGUGGGGAGCAAACAGGAUUAGAACCCUGGUAGUCCACGCCGUAAACGAUGUCAACUAGCCGUUGGGAGCCUUGAUCUCUUAGUGGCGCAGCUAACGCAUUAAGUUGACCGCCUGGGCAGUACGGCCGCAAGGUUAAAACUCAAAUGAAUUGACGGGGCCCGCACAAGCGGUGGAGCAUGUGGUUUAAUUCGAGCAACACGAAGAACCUUACCAGGCCUUGACAUCCAAUGAACUUUCCAGAGAUGGAUUGGUGCCUUCGGGAACAUUGAGACAGGUGCUGCAUGGCUGUCGUCAGCUCGUGUCGUGAGAUGUUGGGUUAAGUCACGUAACGAGCGCAACCCUUGUCCUUACUUACCAGCACGUAAUGGUGGCACUCUAAGGAGACUGCCGGUGACAAACCCGAGGAAGGUGGGAUGACGUCAAGUCAUCAUGGCCCUUACGGCCUGGGCUACACACGUGCUACAAUGGUCGGUACGAGGGUUGCCAAGCCGCGAGGUGGAGCUAAUCCCAUAAAACCGAUCGUAGUCCGGAUCGCAGUCUGCAACUCGACUGCGUGAAGCCGGAAUCGCUAGUAAUCACGAAUCAGAAUGUCGCGGUGACUACGUUCCGGGCCUCGUACACACCGCGUCACACCAUGGAAGUGGGUUGCACCAGAAGUAGCUAGUCUAACCUUCGGGAGGACGGUUACCACGGUGUGACUCUGACUGGGGUGAAGUCGUAACAAGGUAGCCGUAGG